rnacentral:rRNA from 1 species
GUCGAGGAUCUUCGGCAAUGGGCGCAAGCCUGACCGAGCGACGCCGCGUGUGCGAUGAAGGCCUUCGGGUUGUAAAGCACUGUCGAGGGGGAGGAAAGCCCGCAAGGGUCUGACCUAUCCCUGGAGGAAGCACGGGCUAAGUUCGUGCCAGCAGCCGCGGUAAGACGAACCGUGCAAACGUUGUUCGGAUUCACUGGGCUUAAAGGGCGCGUAGGCGGCUUGCCAAGUCAGGGGUGAAAUCUUUCGGCUCAACCGGAAAAUUGCUUUUGAUACUGGCGAGCUGGAGGGAGGUAGGGGCAGAUGGAACUUCCGGUGGAGCGGUGAAAUGCGUAGAUAUCGGAAGGAACGCCGGUGGCGAAAGCGAUCUGCUGGAUCUCUACUGACGCUGAGGCGCGAAAGCCAGGGGAGCAAACGGGAUUAGAAACCCUAGUAGUCC